rnacentral:lncRNA from 1 species
GAAGAAACAUCUCUUUUGGGCAUUCCACACUCAUGAAUGAAGAAGUAUUAAAUGCUGGUGCAUGUACGGCUAGAUGCAAUGUUUCUACAAAUUCAUGCAUGUGUCGAAUGCAUGUAUGGACAUUAAAGGCUAGUCCAUGAAUGGAUCAAAUGCAUGGGAUGAUAGAAUGCAUGAAUGGCUUAAGUGCAUGUAUGGUGGCUAUCUCUUAACUUUCCAAGGCACUUAUUCGGCCAAGAAGUAGCUGCUAACUAAUUCUAUGUUGACCAUAGAGCUCCUUGAGCAUGUUCACACUUUGAAUUGACCUAUAGGCUACUACACAUGCAUGGAUGGGUUCAAGAACGUCCAAGGGAAGGAAUUAACUCAAUAAUUCAACACAUUGAUUGAAUUAAGUGCAUGCACAAAGGGGAGAACGAAUUUACUAGGUUCAUGCUACCAUUUAUGAACUUACAUGCCAUUAAAGUGUUUAAUUAUGAAGAUACAUGGUCCAUACAAGUGCAUGAACGUCCCAAGG